AGCGAACGCUGGCGGCAGGCCUAACACAUGCAAGUCGAGCGAGGACUUCGGUCCUAGCGGCGGACGGGUGAGUAACGCGUGGGAACGUGCCCUUUGCUUCGGAAUAGCCCUGGGAAACUGGGAGUAAUACCGGAUGAGCCCUUUGGGGGAAAGAUUUAUCGGCGAAGGAUCGGCCCGCGUUGGAUUAGGUAGUUGGUGGGGUAAUGGCCUACCAAGCCGACGAUCCAUAGCUGGUUUGAGAGGAUGAUCAGCCACACUGGGACUGAGACACGGCCCAGACUCCUACGGGAGGCAGCAGUGGGGAAUCUUAGACAAUGGGGGAAACCCUGAUCUAGCCAUGCCGCGUGAGCGAUGAAGGCCUUAGGGUUGUAAAGCUCUUUCAGCUGGGAAGAUAAUGACGGUACCAGCAGAAGAAGCCCCGGCUAACUCCGUG
rnacentral:rRNA from 1 species